UGCCAGCAGCCGCGGUAAGACGGAGGGGGCUAGCGUUGUUCGGAAUUACUGGGCGUAAAGGGCGCGUAGGCGGUCGAUCAAGUUAGGCGUGAAAGCCCUAGGCUUAACCUAGGAACUGCGCUUAAUACUGGUUGACUAGAGUUCGGUAGAGGGAAGUGGAAUUCCUAGUGUAGAGGUGAAAUUCGUAGAUAUUAGGAAGAACACCAGAGGCGAAGGCGACUUCCUGGGCCGACACUGACGCUGAGGCGCGAAAGCGUGGGGAGCAAACAGGAUUAGAUA
rnacentral:rRNA from 1 species